UGAUAGUCGGUUAUGGAGAUUCUCUGGCGUGGGACAAAGCUCCUCUUUGACCCAGCACAGCGCCCAGCCUCCACCACCUGUCCUUUUUUUCCCCUUGCGCUGCACCUGGCGCAGAAAGAGUACGGAAUGCAUUAGCUCGAGGAGGGGGGGGUUCUGUUCUAGGGCUCACAUCUGCGCUGCCUGCCAGCCAGCCCUCUGGCUUUCGGGCAGUUGAAGGAGCCGCCUUGCCCACGCUGUGCUCCCCACAGCGUGUGCUAGCCCACCCCAGCCCCGGCGCCCGCCUUCACCUGCAGCCGGAAGCGCUGCACCGCCUUGUCCAUGGUCUCCAGGCCGGCUCGCUGCUUCUGCCGCGCCCUGGUCACCGCGCCUCGGGCCGUCUGGCCCCUGGUCCAUCGCAGGACCACCGCGGCCGACAGCAAGCUGCAGGCUAGGCAAACCCCGGAGAGUCCAGACAGCGCGGUCCACACUUCGCUCAGCACCAUGAUCUCCUGCAGCCGACCGCCACCCGAGAGGGCUCAGCACGCGCAAACCAACAGCUCCGCUGCAAAACCCGGCCUGGAUCGCCCGCGAUUCCGCUUGAGGGAGGGGCAGGCGCAGCCGCAGGCCCGCGGGGAGCGCGCCGUUGCCGGGCAGCGAGAGCCAAGCUAGCAGCUCCAACGGUCAAGGUCAAGCCUAGCCCCCUGCUGGCCUGGUUCCCGGCGUGCCGGCGUUUUAAAGCAGCCCGAGCAGCUGAGCUCCCCGUGGGCGCUCUCGAAAGCACCAGGGCGACCGGUUUCCUUGACGCGGUCCUUGGCUUCGUCUCCGCCCUAUACACCUCACAGCUUCAACUCUCUUCCGAAAACCCGGCUAAGCCAGGGCCCCCAAAACUGGCCGGGUGCAGCGGACCUUAUCAGGGUCUCAGCAUUAUUUUUCCUGGGGAGCCGAGAGUUGCCGGGGCUGUGCAGAGCUGGAUGUCCAUCUCACCUGGACUCUGGCCUGCUGGCAAUUCUGAGGCGUGGCCUCUCUUUUUCUACCCACCUUCCAAACGUUGAACCUUUUACUCUGGGCGAUCUACCCACGUGUUUUUCCUCAUCCACUUCGCACAGACGAUUCCAUUGCUCAUCCUCUCCUGGACCACACCCAGGAAACAACUUGGUCUGAACCAGAGUCCUCUCUGUGGAUCUGGUGUCCAUCCCUGGGGGCGCCGUGUAAGUUAGGGCCUUGCGCACCCUAAUUGUGGCUAGAUUGCUGUCGCAGAAUUUUAUGUGACUCAUCUCAUUUAUCCAUCUAGAAAUCCUGUGAGAAAGGCAUUUUGCACUUUACUAGUGAGGUAACUUGAGGGCAAGAAGGGUUAAAUGUCCUUUUUGAGUCACACUGGUGGCUGAGUGAAGAUUCAGGCUGCAGUCUUCAUCAAACAGGUGUUUCUGCCUGCAUGGAAGUCUGUGGACAAUCAUCUGCUAACUCCAGCCCCAGGACCUGAUCAGUAUCUGCUGAGCUCUGAGAGGGCCCCCCUGCACUCACGUGCACACACCUACACAGACACAUAAUUAAAAAUUAAUCUUGA